rnacentral:rRNA from 1 species
GGGCCCGCACAAGCGGUGGAGCAUGUGGCUUAAUUCGAUGCAACGCGAGGAACCUUACCUGGGCUUAAAUGUAGUCUGACAGGGGUGGAAACACCCCCUCCUUCGGGCAGAUUACAAGGUGCUGCAUGGUUGUCGUCAGCUCGUGCCGUGAGGUGUCAGGUUAAGUCCUAUAACGAGCGCAACCCCUGCCGUUAGUUGCCAGCAUGUAAUGAUGGGAACUCUAACGGGACUGCCGGUGCAAACCGCGAGGAAGGUGGGGAUGACGUCAAAUCAUCACGGCCCUUACGUCCUGGGCUACACACGUGCUACAAUGGCCGGUACAGAGGGCAGCCACACCGCAAGGUGGAGCGAAUCCUUAAAACCGGUCUCAGUUCGGAUCGGGGUCUGCAACUCGGCCCCGUG